AGGGCACCACCAGGAGUGGAGCCUGCGGCUUAAUUUGACUCAACACGGGAAAACUCACCCGGCCCGGACACCGUAAGGAUUGACAGACUGAGAGCUCUUUCUUAAUUCGGUGGGUGGUGGUGCAUGGCCGUUCUUAGUUGGUGGAGCGAUUUGUCUGGUUAAUUCCGAUAACGAACGAGACUCUGGCCUACUAAAUAGGCGGUAUAUCGAAAAGUAUAUCGAACUUCUUAGAGGGACAAGCGGCGUCUAGCCGCAUGAAAUAGAGCAAUAACAGGUCUGUGAUGCCCUUAGAUGUCCGGGGCUGCACGCGCGCUACACUGAAAGAAUCAGAGUGCGCUUAAACCUAGUUCGGAAGAACCGGGUAACCCAAGUAAAUUCUUUCGUGCUUGGGAUAGGGAAUUGCAAUUAUUUCCCUUAAACGAGGAAUUCCCAGUAAGUGCGGGUCAUAAGCUCGCGUUGAUUACGUCCCUGCCCUUUGUACACACCGCCCGUCGCUACUACCGAUUGGAUGACUUAGUG
rnacentral:rRNA from 1 species